AAAAAAAUAUUCUUCCUACUGAAAUUCUGAAUGAAGGGGGACCUCCUGGUAAUCACACCUGAGUUUGUAUUUGAUUACUUUGCAAUAGCCUGGCAGACUCAGAACCUCAUUCACUAGAUAGCAUCAUAAAUAAAAUUUAAUGAGAAAGAGAGAUGUUGAAUUUCUGUUCCCCUCCUGUAAGCAAGUGUGCAGUGUCUGGACUAAAAUAUUAGCUAAGCAUGUGUCAUGU